UUGGAUCCAGACUUUGAUCCUGGCUCAGGAUGAACGCUAGCUACAGGCUUAACACAUGCAAGUCGAGGGGAAACGAUAUUGGAAGCUUGCUUCCGAUAGGCGUCGACCGGCGCACGGGUGAGUAACGCGUAUCCAACCUGCCCACCACUUGGGGAUAACCUUGCGAAAGUAAGACUAAUACCCAAUGAUAUCUCUAGAAGACAUCUGAAAGAGGUUAAAGAUUUAUCGGUGAUGGAUGGGGAUGCGUCUGAUUAGCUUGUUGGCGGGGUAACGGCCCACCAAGGCGACGAUCAGUAGGGGUUCUGAGAGGAAGGUCCCCCACAUUGGAACUGAGACACGGUCCAAACUCCUAUGGGAGGCAGCAGUGAGGAAUAUUGGUCAAUGGACGAGAGUCUGAACCAGCCAAGUAGCGUGCAGGAAGACGGCCCUAUGGGUUGUAAACUGCUUUUAUAGGGGAAUAAAGUUAGUCUCGUGAGACUUUUUGCAUGUACCUUAUGAAUAAGGACCGGCUAAUUCCGUGCCAGCAGCCGCGGUAAUACGGAAGGUCCGGGCGUUAUCCGGAUUUAUUGGGUUUAAAGGGAGCGUAGGCCGGAGAUUAAGCGUGUUGUGAAAUGUAGACGCUCAACGUCUGCACUGCAGCGCGAACUGGUUUCCCUGAGUACGCACAAAGUGGGCGGAAUUCGUGGUGUAGCGGUGAAAUGCUUAGAUAUCACGAAGAACUCCGAUUGCGAAGGCAGCUCACUGGAGCGCAACUGACGCUGAAGCUCGAAAGUGCGGGUAUCGAACAGGAUUAGAUACCCUGGUAGUCCGCACGGUAAACGAUGGAUGCCCGCUGUUGGUCUGAAUAGGUCAGCGGCCAAGCGAAAGCAUUAAGCAUCCCACCUGGGGAGUACGCCGGCAACGGUGCAACUCAAAGGAAUUGACGGA
rnacentral:rRNA from 1 species